AUGGGAUUUAGGGACCUUCAUAGCUAUAACCUUGCUAUGUUAGCAAAGCAGUGCUGGCGUCUAAUCCAGAACCCUGACUCUUUGUGUGCAAGUGUGUUAAGCGCCAAAUAUUACCCUGAUGGAAAUAUAUUGCAAGCCGGACCAAAGAAGGGAGCUUCUUAUACUUGGCAGAGUAUUGUACCCGGGAUACAGACCUUCAAAAGAGGAUGUAUAUGGAGAGUUGGGAAUGGUUCUUAGAUUAACAUUUCGCAAGAUCCCUGGAUACCGAGUGAGACAAGGAAAAUUAUUACACCACCGGGGGCAACCUUACUGUCAAAGGUUGAGGAGCUGAUUAAUCCACACUCCGGUCAGUGGGAUGAAGAUCUAAUUCGAUCUGUCUUUAACCUGAUCGAUGUCAUCAGAAUUCUGCAAAUUCCAUUACGGGUGGAGAUAAUUGAGGACCUUGUGUCUUGGCAUCAUACUAGAUCGGGAACAUUCUCUGUGCGGUCUUCCUAUCAUGUUGAAUUUGAACACCAACAUGGAUCGCACUUGAGGAGAACUGAUGGACAGGGAAGCAUGCAAGUGAAUGACAUUUGUAAUAAUACUUGGUGCCUUCGAGUACCAGGGAAAAUAAAACAUUUUACUUGGAAGGUACUGAGAGGAAUGUUGCCGUGUUUUGGAGUGCUUGCUAGUCGUCAUAUCCCACUCAUACCACAAUGUCCGAUGUGCAAAAUUGGGAUGGGAGAUAUCCAUAAUUGUUUAUUUUCAUGCACGAGGAUGAAAGCAAUCUGGGCAGAGUUAGCAUUGGCGGAGCACAUUGAAAAGGCAGUGACAGAAGAUCGAUAUGGAUCCGUGACUAUGGAAAUCCUUGAGAGACUUGAGUCCAGUAUUGGUGAACUUUCGAUGGAGAACUGGUGGUUGUAG
rnacentral:rRNA from 1 species